UACGGGGGGGGGCAAGCGUUGUUCGGAAUUCCUGGGCGUAAAGGGCUCGUAGGUGGCCAACUAAGUCAGACGUGAAAUCCCUCGGCUUAACCGGGGAACUGCGUCUGAUACUGGAUGGCUUGAGUUCGGGAGAGGGAUGCGGAAUUCCAGGUGUAGCGGUGAAAUGCGUAGAUAUCUGGAGGAACACCGGUGGCGAAGGCGGCUCUCUGGGCCUUACCUGACGCUGAGGAGCGAAAGCGUGGGUAGCGAACAGG
rnacentral:rRNA from 1 species